rnacentral:rRNA from 1 species
UACAGAGGGUGCGAGCGUUGUUCGGAAUUACUGGGCGUAAAGCGCGCGCAGGCGGCCUUUUAAGUCUGACGGUGAAAUGCCGGGGCUCAACCCCGUGCCCGCCGCGGAUACUGGGAGGCUGGAGACAUGUAGAGGCAAGCGGAAUUCCGGGUGUAGCGGUGGAAUGCGUAGAGAUCCGGAAGAACACCGGGAGGCGAAGGCGGCUUGCUGGGCAUUGUCUGACGCUGAGGCGCGAAAGCGUGGGGAGCGAACAGG